rnacentral:rRNA from 1 species
GGAUUAGAUACCCUGGUAGUCCAUGCCGUAAACGAUGUGUGCUAGACGUUGGAAAUAUAUUUUUCAGUGUCGCAGCGAAAGCAUUAAGCACACCGCCUGGGGAGUACGACCGCAAGGUUAAAACUCAAAUGAAUUGACGGGGACCCGCACAAGCAGUGGAGCAUGUGGUUUAAUUCGAAGAUACGCGCAGAACCUUACCAACGCUUGACAUGUUCGUCGCGAAACUAAGAGAUUAGAGCUUUCGGUUCGGCCGGACGAAACACAGGUGCUGCAUGGCCGUCGUCAGCUCGUGUCG